GCGAAAUUGGGUGCAGAAGCGUGGGUAAGAGGUAGGGGGCAAGGUGUAAUCGGGAUUCGUGGGCGUAAAGCGUGCGUAGGUGGGUGUUUAAGGCUGAUGAGAAAUCCCCGGGCGCAACCUGGGAAUGGCAUUGGAUACUGGAACGCUAGAGUGCGGUAGAGGGUGGUGGAAUUCCCGGUGUAGCAGUGAAAUGCGUAGAGAUCGGGAGGAACAUCUGUGGCGAAGGCGGCCACCUGGACCAGCACUGACACUGAGGCACGAAAGCGUGGGGAGCAAACAGGAUUAGAUACCCGUGUAGUC
rnacentral:rRNA from 1 species